GCUUCAUUCAAAUAUCUGCCCUAUCAACUUUCGAUGGUAGGAUAGUGGCCUACCAUGGUUUUAACGGGUAACGGGGAAUAAGGGUUCGAUUCCGGAGAGGGAGCCUGAGAAACGGCUACCACAUCCAAGGAAGGCAGCAGCUGCGCAAAUUACCCAAUCCCGACCGGGGAGGUAGUGACAAUAAAUAACAAUAUAGGGCUCUUUUGGGUCUUAUAAUUGGAAUGAGUACAAUUUAAACCCCUUAACGAGGAACAAUUGGAGGGCAAGUCUGGUGCCAGCAGCCGCGGUAAUUCCAGCUCCAAUAGCGUAUAUUAAAGUGUUGCAGGUAAAAAGCUCGUAGUUG
rnacentral:rRNA from 1 species